rnacentral:rRNA from 1 species
UACGUAGGAGGCAAGCGUUUGUCCGGAAUCACUGGGCGUAAAGCGCGUGUAGGUGGAAGAGGAAGUCUGCUGUGAAAGCGCCUGGCUUAACCGGGCGAGGUCGGUGGAAACUCCUCAUCUAGAGGUCGGUAGAGGGGGGGUGGAAUUCCGGGUGUAGUGGUGAAAUGCGUAGAGAUCCGGAGGAACACCUGUGGCGAAGGCGGCCCCCCUGGGCCGCACCUGACGCUGAGACGCGAAAAGCGCGGGGAGCGAACGGGAUUGAGAAACCC